rnacentral:rRNA from 1 species
UACAUAGGUCGCAAACGUUAUCCGGAAUCAUUGGGCGUAAAGGAUGCGUAGAUGGUUCAGUAAGUUACUGGUGGGAAAUCGAGGCCCAACCUCGUGGAAGUUAGUAAUACUGUUGAACUUGAGUGCAGGAGAGGUUAACGGAACUUCAUGUGGAGCGGUAAAAUGCGUAGAUAUAUGAAAGAACAUCAAUAUGGCGAAGGCAGUUAACUGUUCUGCUACUGACAUUGAGGCAUGAAAGCGUGGGGAGCAAAACGG